rnacentral:rRNA from 1 species
AACGAACGCUGGCGGCAUGCCUAACACAUGCAAGUCGAACGAGACCUUCGGGUCUAGUGGCGCACGGGUGCGUAACGCGUGGGAACCUGCCCUUAGGUUCGGAAUAACUCCCCGAAAGGGGUGCUAAUACCGGAUAAUGUCUUCGGACCAAAGAUUUAUCGCCUUUGGAUGGGCCCGCGUUGGAUUAGCUAGUUGGUAGGGUAAAAGCCUACCAAGGCGACGAUCCAUAGCUGGUCUGAGAGGAUGAUCAGCCACACUGGGACUGAGACACGGCCCAGACCCGGAGGGAGGGGUGGGGGGGGAAAUAUGGAAGAAGGGCGGAAGACUGAACCAAGCAGUGCGGGGGGAGAAGGAAGGCCGUUGGGGUGAAAAGUUUUUUUUCCCGGGAAGGAGAAGGACAGGACGGGGAAAAUAAGCCCCGGCUACCCCCGUG